AAUCUGGCGUCCUCAGGGCGUCCGAGUUGUAAUCUAUAGAGGCGUUUUCCGUGCCGGACCGUGUCCAAGUUCCUUGGAACAGGAUAUCAAAGAGGGUGACAAUCCCGUACUUGACACGACGACCGGUGCUCUGUGAUACGUCUUCUACGAGUCGAGUUGUUUGGGAAUGCAGCUCAAAAUGGGUGGUGAGUUCCAUCUAAAGCUAAAUAUUGGCGAGAGACCGAUAGCGAACAAGUACCGUGAGGGAAAGAUGAAAAGCACUUUGGAAAGAGAGUUAAACAGUACGUGAAAUUGUUGAAAGGGAAACGAUUGAAGUCAGUCGUGACCGAGAGGCUCAGCCGGUUCUGCCGGUGUAUUCCCCUCGGUCGGGUCAACAUCAGUUUUGUCCGGUGGAUAAGGACGGUAGGAAGGUGGCACCCUCGGGUGUGUUAUAGCCUGCCGUCGCAUACAUCGGGUGAGACUGAGGAACGCAGCUCGCCUUUAUGGCCGGGGUUCGCCCACGUCCGAGCUUAGGAUGUUGACAUAAUGGCUUUAAACGACCCGUCU
rnacentral:rRNA from 1 species